GCAUGCUGAAUAUACCGGUUCUCGUUAGAUCACCGAAGUCAAGCAUCAUUGGGCGUGGUCAGUACUUGGGUGGGUGACCACCUGGGAACACCGCGUACCGUU
rnacentral:rRNA from 1 species